AAAAAUUUGAGUGUUGGGGUUUUGUCCAUAACCUAUGGGUAAACCAUACCCAACCCAUAAUGAAAUAAUUUUCUAUAUAAAACCCACAUCUAACCCAUUUUCAUGAUUUACCCAACCCAAACCAUUUAAUUUGGUUUGGGUUUGGGUAAACCCAUGGGUUGUGGGUUUAUGUCCACCCCCACUUGAAACUAUAAUACUACCCUAUUGCAAAAUAUCAAGAAGCCCCUCCAUUACACUUCAUAUUCAGAAGCCAAGGGAAGUCCCACCAUGCGUCAGCACCAUGCAAUUUCUCCUGAAAACUUCUUGUGCUUUAAACUUUUCAAUACUAAGAUACCAGAAGGAUCUUGUUUAGGGGGAAAUUUACAAUGUUGAUAUGGACUAAUAAACUAAAGACACGUGGUGAAAAGAAGUAAAUUAAAAUGAAGUCAAUUUAUUUGACCGAAUGAUAUGAUAGCUCAUAGAAGUCAAAAGAUAAGUUCAAAGGAAAAAGGAUAGUUUGGAUAAAAACGUCAACACCGAAAGAUAUUAUUAGGACUCAGAUUUAGUAGUUAGAGUUAAACACGUGAGCAAUGCAUGCCAUCUUUAAUGUUGCUGACAUAAGAAUGGUGACACGACUUAAAAUGUGUUUGAUUUUCUCCCAAAUAUAAGAGUGUCUAGUUAUAAUAUAUUUCGGUGAGUCCGAGAUCGAUCUAUAGAGAA
rnacentral:lncRNA from 1 species